rnacentral:rRNA from 1 species
UGGGGAAUAUUGCACAAUGGGCGCAAGCCUGAUGCAGCCAUGCCGCGUGUGUGAAGAAGGCCUUCGGGUUGUAAAGCACUUUCAGCGGGGAGGAAGGCGUUAAGGUUAAUAACCUUGGCGAUUGACGUUACCCGCAGAAGAAGCACCGGCUAACUCCGUGCCAGCAGCCGCGGUAAUACGGAGGGUGCAAGCGUUAAUCGGAAUUACUGGGCGUAAAGCGCACGCAGGCGGUCUGUCAAGUCGGAUGUGAAAUCCCCGGGCUCAAACUGGGAACUGCAUUCGAAACUGGCAGGCUAGAGGCUUGUAGAGGGGGGUAGAAUUCCAGGGGUAGCGGUGAAAUGCGGAGAGAUCUGGAGGAAUACCGGUGGCGAAGGCGGCCCCCUGGACAAAGACUGACGCUCAGGUGCGAAAGCGUGGGGAGCAAACAGG